UUCCACCGUGUGACUGAAUCCCCACUUUAUUUUGACAGCGUGGGCGACCCGGAUGACUUUAGGAAGGACGCUAGCGCUUCUCUCUCUGCCGCUCAGCGCGUCGACAAGAAACAUACGCCGAGACAGAAAAACACAGAUGAGAUGAGACGUGAGGCAGCGAGCGUCUGAGCGUCACCUCACAUUGCGCAAUCCCUCACAAACUGGGUUGAAGAGGCUUGUGACGGGCAAGUGUCUGUUUCUGUCUCUCUUCACAUCUCCAAUCAAAUGUUUUCAGCUCACACACGACAAACUGGAGAUGUCGAAGAACUCUUCCGCACUGCAAUCCGAAGGAGCUUGGAAGGGAAUGAGAAGAUGUUGGCCGUCAACUGGAUUGGGACGGAGGAAAAAUAAUAUGAAAGCAAAUCUGUGUUUGCUAAUAAAAGGCGGCGUCCCCGUCGCCAUGGUGUGGAGGGUCCGAUUCUUAUUCUUGCGGGGUUAGCAUCAGGCUCCGUGGAGCACUACCGCCGCCUUCUGUCUGGAGGCGCGCAUGCAA